rnacentral:ncRNA from 1 species
UCAGUAGUUUGAUUUCUUGUCUUCACAUUUUCUUUGGGGUUUAUAAAAAUUUACAUGUAAGUGAGGAGCGUGGUGUGCUGGUUCUGGUCUGGGUUGGCUAGAAAUGUUAGUGAGAUUAUACGCAGUAUUUAAUAUUAAAAAUCAAUAUUUUGGAUUUAGUUUUAUCAUAUUUAGUUGGUUANAUUCGUGCCAGCAUCCGCGGUUAUACGUAAAGCUAAAACAAAGAUUUUAGGUUAAAGGAUGAAAUAUAAAGUUAAAUAGUUUUUAAUGAUAUUAUUAAUGUAAUAAGUUAGGGGUAAAAUCUUUAUUUUUAAUAAUUUCAUGAGAUGUUAUUUUUUAUGGGUCAUAUAGGUUAAUAUGUUUAGACUAGGAUUAGAUACCCUAUUAUUUAUAAUCAUCAAUUGUUUACCUGGGUAGUAAUAUUAAAUUUGUUGGUUUUGAAACCUAAAGAGUUUGGCGGUGCCCUAUUCCAAUUAGAGGAAUUUGCCUCUUAAUUGACAGUCCGCGUUGAACCUUUUCUUGUUUUUGUUUACAUUUUGUAUACCGUUGUUCGUCAGAAUAUUUUAAAAGAUGAUUAAUUUUUCUUAAUAUUAAAAAAUUUGAUGUCAGAUUCAAGGUGCAGAUUAUAAAUAAGUGUAGGUGGAUUACAAUAAAAGUUUAUUUAAAUGGAGUGUAUGUUUAAACACAUAUUUGAAGGUGGAUUUAAUUGUAAUAAAAUUAAUUAUAUUUGUGUGAAAUAAGGCACUAGGGUAUGCACACAUCGCCCGUCGCUCCUCGUUUGAUACAUAAGAUGAGAUAAGUCGUAACAUAGUAGAUGUACUGGAAAGUGUAUCUAGAAUUAUUUAU